rnacentral:rRNA from 1 species
AGCGAACGUUAGCGGCGGGCCUAACACAUGCAAGUCGAGCGAGAAAGGGGCUUCGGCCCUGAGUAAAGCGGCGGACGGGUGAGUAACACGUAGGUAAUCUUCCUUCGAGCGGGGGACAACGGUCCGAAAGGACCGCUAAUACCGCGUACGUUCCCGAGGCCCCUGGUCCUUGGGAGGAAAGCUAGGUCGCAAGAUCCGGCCCUCGGGGAGGAGCCUGCGUCGAAUCAGCGAGUUGGGGGGGUAAUGGCCUACCAAGGCGAAGACGCGUAGCUGGUCUGCGAGGAUGAUCAGCCACACUGGGACUGAGACACGGCCAGACUCCUACGGGAGGCAGCAGUGGGGAAUAUUGGACAAUGGGCGCAAGCCUGAUCCAGCCACGCCGCGUGAGUGAUGAAGGCCUUCGGGUCGUAAAGCUCUGUGGGGAGGGACGAACCGCUGCACGUGCAUAGCGUGCAGCAUGACGGUACCUCCUUAGCAAGCACCGGCUAACUUCGUGCCAGCCGCCGCCGUAA